GGGUCAGUAGGUUGGUCGUGCCACCGGUACGUACUGGUCUCACUGAUUCCUCCUUCCUGAAGAACCGUAAUGCCAUUAAUUUGGUGUUGCGGGGAAACAGGAUUGUUACUUUGAAAAAAUUAGAGUGUUUAAAGCAAGCUAACGCCUGAAUACAUUAGCAUGGAAUAAUGAAAUAGGACGAUCGAUCCUAUUUUGUUGGUUUCUAGGAUUGACGUA
rnacentral:rRNA from 1 species